GUCUCGGUAGUGUAAGGGAUAAGAGCAAGGUCCCCAGAAAGCACAUGCACGGGUUCAAGUCCCGUCCGAGACU
rnacentral:tRNA from 1 species